GGUUUAUGAUUCUGAACUUUGCUCCCCUAAAUCUCUAGAAGCUUCACCUCCGCUCAACCAUCACUAAUCGAAUCAUCCUCCACACCACCAUCACUAAUCGAAUCAUCCUCCGAUCCAAAACCCUAAUCGCUCCAAAACCCUAUCCCAAAAGUGGCGACCGUUGGACUUCAGCAAUGAGCUAAUGAUUUCCUAGGGUUCGGUUUGUUGUGAACUAUGACCAACAUCUUGUUAUUCUUAAUCGAAGGUGUUGGAGCAUUGGCCGUUCUUUAUUAGAUU
rnacentral:lncRNA from 1 species